rnacentral:rRNA from 1 species
UACAGAGGGUGCGAGCGUUAAUCGGAAUUACUGGGCGUAAAGCGUGCGCAGGCGGUUCUGUAAGACAGGUGUGAAAUCCCCGGGCUUAACCUGGGAACUGCAUUUGUGACUGCAUAGCUAGAGUACGGUAGAGGGGGAUGGAAUUCCGCGUGUAGCAGUGAAAUGCGUAGAUAUGCGGAGGAACACCGAUGGCGAAGGCAAUCCCCUGGACCUGUACUGACGCUCAUGCACGAAAGCGUGGGGAGCAAACAGG